rnacentral:misc_RNA from 1 species
CCGAGUUUACAACUCCCAAACCCCUAGUGAACAUACCACUUGUUGCCUCGGCGGAUCAGCCCGCUCCCGGUAAAACGGGACGGCCCGCCAGAGGACCCCUAAACUCUGUUUCUAUAUGUAACUUCUGAGUAAAACCAUAAAUAAAUCA